rnacentral:rRNA from 1 species
GAUCCUGGCUCAGGACGAACGCUGGCGGCGUGCUUAACACAUGCAAGUCGAACGAGAAUCUACUGAAAGAGUUUUCGGACAAUGGAUGUAGAGGAAAGUGGCGGACGGGUGAGUAACGCGUGAGGAACCUGCCUUGAAGAGGGGGACAACAGUUGGAAACGACUGCUAAUACCGCAUGACGCAUAGGGGUCGCAUGAUCUUUAUGCCAAAGNUUUAUCGCUUCAAGAUGGCCUGCGU